rnacentral:rRNA from 1 species
GAUGAACGCUGGCGGCGUGCCUAAUACAUGCAAGUCGAGCGAACAGACGAGGAGCUUGCUCCUCUGACGUUAGCGGCGGACGGGUGAGUAACACGUGGAUAACCUACCUAUAAGACUGGGAUAACUUCGGGAAACCGGAGCUAAUACCGGAUAAUAUAUUGAACCGCAUGGUUCAAUAGUGAAAGACGGUUUUGCUGUCACUUAUAGAUGGAUCCGCGCCGCAUUAGCUAGUUGGUAAGGUAACGGCUUACCAAGGCAACGAUGCGUAGCCGACCUGAGAGGGUGAUCGGCCACACUGGAACUGAGACACGGUCCAGCCUCCUACGGGAGGCAGCAGUAGGGAAUCUUCCGCAAUGGGCGAAGGCUUGACGGAGCAACGCCGCGUGAUUGAUGAAGGUCUUCGGAUCGUAAAACUCUGUUAUUAGGGAAGAACAAAUGUGUAAGUAACUAUGCACGUCUUGACGGUACCUAAUCAGAAAGCCACGGCUAACUACGUG